rnacentral:rRNA from 1 species
GAUGAACGCUGGCGGCGUGCCUAAUACAUGCAAGUCGAGCGAACAGACGAGGAGCUUGCUCCUCUGGCGUUAGCGGCGGACGGGUGAGUAACACGUGGAUAACCUACCUAUAAGACUGGGAUAACUUCGGGAAACCGGAGCUAAUACCGGAUAACAUGUUGAACCGCAUGGUUCAACAGUGAAAGACGGUCUUGCUGUCACUUAUAGAUGGAUCCGCGCCGCAUUAGCUAGUUGGUAAGGUAACGGCUUACCAAGGCAACGAUGCGUAGCCGACCUGAGAGGGUGAUCGGCCACACUGGAACUGAGACACGGUCCAGACUCCUACGGGAGGCAGCAGUAGGGAAUCUUCCGCAAUGGGCGAAAGCCUGACGGAGCAACGCCGCGUGAGUGAUGAAGGUCUUCGGAUCGUAAAACUCUGUUAUUAGGGAAGAACAAAUGUGUAAGUAACUAUGCACGUCUUGACGGUACCUAAUCAGAAAGCCACGGCUAACUACGUGCCAGCAGCCGCGGUAAUACGUAGGUGGCAAGCGUUAUCCGGAAUUAUUGGGCGUAAAGCGCGCGUAGGCGGUUUUUUAAGUCUGAUGUGAAAGCCCACGGCUCAACCGUGGAGGGUCAUUGGAAACUGGAAAACUUGAGUGCAGAAGAGGAAAGUGGAAUUCCAUGUGUAGCGGUGAAAUGCGCAGAGAUAUGGAGGAACACCAGUGGCGAAGGCGACUUUCUGGUCUGUAACUGACGCUGAUGUGCGAAAGCGUGGGGAUCAAACAGGAUUAGAUACCCUGGUAGUCCACGCCGUAAACGAUGAGUGCUAAGUGUUAGGGGGUUUCCGCCCCUUAGUGCUGCAGCUAACGCAUUAAGCACUCCGCCUGGGGAGUACGACCGCAAGGUUGAAACUCAAAGGAAUUGACGGGGACCCGCACAAGCGGUGGAGCAUGUGGUUUAAUUCGAAGCAACGCGAAGAACCUUACCAAAUCUUGACAUCCUCUGACCCCUCUAGAGAUAGAGUUUUCCCCUUCGGGGGACAGAGUGACAGGUGGUGCAUGGUUGUCGUCAGCUCGUGUCGUGAGAUGUUGGGUUAAGUCCCGCAACGAGCGCAACCCUUAAGCUUAGUUGCCAUCAUUAAGUUGGGCACUCUAAGUUGACUGCCGGUGACAAACCGGAGGAAGGUGGGGAUGACGUCAAAUCAUCAUGCCCCUUAUGAUUUGGGCUACACACGUGCUACAAUGGACAAUACAAAGGGUGGCGAAACCGCGAGGUCAAGCAAAUCCCAUAAAGUUGUUCUCAGUUCGGAUUGUAGUCUGCAACUCGACUACAUGAAGCUGGAAUCGCUAGUAAUCGUGGAUCAGCAUGCCACGGUGAAUACGUUCCCGGGUCUUGUACACACCGCCCGUCACACCACGAGAGUUUGUAACACCCGAAGCCGGUGGAGUAACCUUUUGGAGCUAGCCGUCGAAGGUGGGACAAAUGAUUGGGGUGAAGUCGUAACAAGGUAGCCGUA